rnacentral:rRNA from 1 species
CCUUGUACACACCGCCCGUNACACCAUGGGGGGGUGGGUUCCACCAGAAGUAGUUAGCCUAAACCCGCAAGGAGGGCACUACCACGGUGAGAUUCAUGACUGGGGUG